rnacentral:lncRNA from 1 species
UUCUUCAUCAUCAUUUUUUGUCCAAGCUGGGUGUUUGUUCACCCUCCAGCUUGAAGGGGGGGUGUUGGGCCUCUUCAGCAGUCAGCCCAUGACAAUAGCAGUAGCCCAAGACAAUAGCAGCCCAAAGGUAGCUGCUAUAUUUAUUUGUUGUAUUGGUUUGUAUAGGAGUGAGGGGCACACAUGUAAUUUCACACACACACAUUACAUUUUUUAAUUGGUUUGUAUAUAGAGAAGCGGAAGCUUCGAGACAGAACGAGAAGAAAAUCAUUUCAAUACAUUUCAGAUUUUUUUCUCUCUUCUCUUUCCUUUUACACUGUUCAUCUCCUUCUUCCUUUCUUUCUUCAAUCCGACGAGCUACAAUGUUAACAUGGUAUCAGAGCGGGUAUAUUCUUGCUCUCCUUGUCAUCAGCUUUCGAUCGAUGUUACCCUCGUCGAUUUUCAUCCGUGCUU